rnacentral:ribozyme from 1 species
AGGAAAAAAAAAAAAAAAAAAAAAAAAAAAAAAAA